GGGGAUUUUUCCGCAAUGGGCGAAAGCCUGACGGAGCAACGCCGCGUGCGGGAUGACGCUUUUCGGAGUGUAAACCGCUGUUCGUGGGGACGAAGCACUGACGGUACCCACGGAGGAAGGCCCGGCUAACUACGUGCCAGCAGCCGCGGUAAUACGUAGGGGUCGAGCGUUGUCCGGAGUUACUGGGCGUAAAGCGUGCGCAGGCGGCUCAUCGCGCUCGGCGUGAAAGCCCCCGGCUCAACCGGGGAGGGUCGUCGAGGACGGGUGAGCUUGAGGGUAUCAGGGGUUGGUGGAAUUCCCGGUGUAGUGGUGAAAUGCGUAGAGAUCGGGAGGAACACCCGUGGCGAAGGCGGCCAACUGGGAUACACCUGACGCUGAGGCACGAAGGCGUGGGGAGCGAAAGGGAUUAGAUACCCCUGUAGUCA
rnacentral:rRNA from 1 species